rnacentral:lncRNA from 1 species
AGUGCUUCUAAAAUAUGAAACAAGCUCUUCACGAGGGACUUAACAAUUAUUCCACAAGCACAUGUUGGAUAUGUAAUGAUCAGCGGUAUUUCAUAUAAGUGUAGACAUGCGCAUUGGUACCAAUACCAGUUAGCCAUGUUGGAAUAAAACUUAGAUCUUGUUGACUAAAGCUAUGUUUAUCCAAUCCUCUGUAAGAAAAAAGAUGGCGACUGGCACAUUUAUCCAUAGUUCUUAACGCACGAAAACCUUAACAACGUUCAUAAAAACGUACAGAAAUGUUAUAAAAUCUUCAAACCUAGGCUACUUAAUGUCCUUGGAACAGAGACAAAUACUGUAAAAGAAGUUGGCUUUCUUUGUGCCUUAUAGGCUGUGGUAGGCUCGCAGGGCAUUGUGGUAAAAUGUACAGCGGCCAUCUUUUUCCUACGGUGGAUUCUAUCGUACUCUCGGAACAAGAACAUCACAGGAUAUACAAAUGAUAGCCUCCAUUUGGCGCGAAAAUAUGUACAGAUAUUUGCCUGCGGACAUUAUCUGUUCUGAGAAGCGAGUAGUUUGCUCUUGGAAAACUGUGAGCCUCGAGAAACAGAUAAUAUCAAACGACAAAUAUCUGAGCUAUUUUUAAAACUAAAAUAAAAUAAAAAUGAUAAUGCCCGAAGAAAUUACGUGUAUGCAUGAAGAGCAUGGUAUAAUAAAACAAAAGAGUUUAAUAUGUUCAGUUGUCACAGGGCAUAAAUAGUUGUUUUGGUCCUAGCUUAGACUCAUUUAAACCCGAGCUGCUAGGCAAGGGCUAAAAUGAGGUCUUUGAAGGGCUCGAUGGCCAAAACAUAUUUAUGCCCAAGAACAUAAACUCUACUGAUAUUAUUAUCACUUAGGAGGGUAUUGAGAAACUGAAAAAAUAUUGAAGAAAUGACAACAAAACAGUCCGAACAAUCAUGCAAGCAUUUACAAGUUGAAUUCCUUUAUUUGUUUUCCCUCAAUGAAAAUAUGCAAUACAUCAAGCGAAGCUAACUAGAAAUUACAAAAUCUUGGCAUGUGGGUUUUCAAGAAUUGUAACAGACACAAAAGGAAAGUUCAGUUUAGCUUAUUUGUAAGUGUUGAAAUUAAUUGUAUAAUUACCAAACUGUCAGCAGGCUAAAAUACACUUUAGCCCACCAGAUUCACCAUUUUAGCCUGCAAAAUGUGCCACAAUGCUUGAUGAAGUGAUAAUAAUUGCUCUUAUUGAUAUUCUAGCUGCAGUACAUGUAGGUUGAAUCUCCCCACCUACAUGUAUGCCAACAAAUUGAAGAACAUGAAGGAUCGGCAGUCAGAAACCAUCUUAGAGAGCAAAAUAAUAGGAAGGCAGAUGACAUUGCACAAAGUUUUAAGAUAACAAUGGUGCUGUAAGCUUGGCAAUGAAAGACCAGCCCUUAGUCCUGGAGUAAGUUCUGCAAUAGUCAGAUGAAAUCAUUUGGAAUGUAUUAUGUUCUAAAUAGCCUCACACACAAAUGACAUCACAAAAAUGUAACCCCCAGUGUGACUCAGACAAACAAGCCAUUCAGUGCGCUACUUCUUUUAAAGCAAUGUAUGGAACAACAUCGCUUGUGAGCACUUUGAACAGUGUGCUACACAAGUGAAUGGCCUCUACCUCAAAAUGUUAGAGAAAACCCAGAACAUGUACCUUUAUAGAAUAAUAAUAAAUUAUAAUAGUAAUAAUGAAGAAUUUUUUAAAAAUAAAAUAUGUCAAUGCAGAAUAUUCACAGAACAAAACAAUGUGCUACGAAAUGAGAGCUGAGAGCUGAGAGUCACUCUGCCAAAAUUCUACUGUUCAUCCAAUAAAAUAAUUAAACAUAAUGAUACAACAAUUGAAGAAAAGGAAUUUGAUACACCCUGUUCAUUAACAAUUCCACAAGUUUGCACUGCAGAAAUAAUUUUUGAGUAAAUACGACCUAAAAGCUAAAAAAAGUACAUGCUCCAAUUAAACUCACUUCCAUCAUUGUUGAAGAAAACAAAGCUAAAAUCUAAAAUGAAUAAAACCAGUAUUAAAAAUCAGAGUUUCGUCCAAAAAAAGAAAGGAACUAAUAGGUCGCUCCCUCUGCAGUUUUGACGAAAAAAUCCGCAUUCUUGACGUAAUAACAAUAGUGAUAAUAAUAAUUUAAUAAUAGUAAUAUAAUAAUAAUAAUAAUAAUAAUAACAAUAAUACUGAGUUUGAAGGGGGGCAGCAAAAUAUGAUGAGCUUCUUAUGAAUAAAGGCUGUUUAUAAAUACACUCCUUACAUGUAUGUCCAUAGGA